rnacentral:rRNA from 1 species
GACGAACGCUGGCGGCGUGCUUUACACAUGCAAGUCGAACGAAGUGGCGAACGGGUGAGUAACGCGUAAUCAACCUGCCCUUCAGAGGGGGACAACACUCGGAAACGACUGCUAAUACCGCAUACUGAUGGAGGGGAUGGCGUCUGGUUAGCUAGCUGGAGGGGUAACGGGCCACCAAGGGGAUGAUCAGUAGCCGGGCUGGUAGGGUGAACGGGCAAAAUGGGCAUGGGAAACGGGCCAGACUCCUACGGGGGGCAGCAGUGGGGAAUCUUCCGCAAUGGAGGAAAGUCUGACGGAGCAACGCCGCGGGGGUGAUGACGGGCUUCGGGUUGUAAAGGUCUGUUAAGCGGGACGCGGUACCGGAAUAGAAAGCCACGGCUAACUACGUGCCAGCAGCCGCGGUAAUAC